rnacentral:rRNA from 1 species
UACGUAGGGGGCUAGCGUUGUCCGGAAUCAUUGGGCGUAAAGAGCGUGUAGGCGGUCCGGUAAGUCCGCUGUGAAAGUCGGGGGCUCAACCCUCGAAUGCCGGUGGAUACUGUCGGGCUAGAGUGCGGUAGGGGAGACUGGAAUUCCUGGUGUAGCGGUGAAAUGCGCAGAUAUCAGGAGGAACACCGGUGGCGAAGGCGGGUCUCUGGGCCGUAACUGACGCUGAGGAGCGAAAGCAUGGGGAGCGAACAGG